rnacentral:rRNA from 1 species
GACGAACGCUGGCGGCGUGCUUAACACAUGCAAGUCGAACGGUGAAGCUCCAGCUUGCUGGAGUGGAUCAGUGGCGAACGGGUGAGUAACACGUGAGCAACCUGCCCCUGACUCUGGAAUAAGCGCUGGAAACGGCGUCUAAUACUGGAUACGAGAAGGGUCCGCAUGGGCACUUUCUGGAAAGUUUUUCGGUUGGGGAUGGGCUCGCGGCCUAUCAGCUUGUUGGUGAGGUAAUGGCUCACCAAGGCGACGACGGGUAGCCGGCCUGAGAGGGCGGCCGGCCAAACUGGGACUGAGACACGGCACAGACUCCUACGGGAGGCAGCAGUGGGGAAUAUUGCACAAUGGGCGAAAGCCUGAUGCAGCGACGCCGCGUGAGGGAUGACGGCCUUCGGGUUGUAAACCUCUUUCAGCAGGGAAGAAGCGAAAGUGACGGUACCUGCAGAAGAAGCACCGGCUAACUACGUG